AGUCAGGGCAUUUUCUGUUGAAAUAGAUUUGGGACACUUGAAGUUCUCAGCUGCCAGAACUAUACAUCCACUCCAACCCUCCACCCCACCUCCUUAAGUCAACAGCAAAUUACUAAAUAAGCUGAGUGUGCCAGAGAGUAGUGAUCAGUGUUCCAUUUCCAAAGGAAGCAUCAUCAGCUCAGUACGCCAAAGAGAAAUUCAUCUGGAAUCUUACAUGGCAGCCAGGACUUUGAAUCUGCCCUUGGCCCCCCUGCCUCCCAGGGACAGUGUGCUUCUCCCCAAGUAACUAGCAGAGAAACACCCCAGAACCAAGGUUGUCUCCUGUCAUUGAUUCCUGUGGUCCCGGAGAGCCAGAGGGUCCUUCAGAUCCCAGGGGUCUGGUCUAAUGUUCAUCCCUGCAAGCAAGCACGACUGGAGUUGAGUCCAUC